rnacentral:lncRNA from 1 species
CCCGGGGCAGCGCGGACGGAGGGAGUGAGAAGUGCCGGAGCGGUGCGCGGGUCCGGGCGCGGGGCGCGGGAGCCGGAGCCGGAGCCGCGCCAGCCGGGGCCGCCGGCGCGAUGCCGCUCGCCCAGCUGGGGAGCCCUGGCCGCUCGCUGAGCUGCUUCCCUGGAUGCCGAGAAUGGGCAAAUUCCUGGAGAAGAUGCUGGAAGACUUCUCUCCAAGGCCUCCACAGAUGUCUCCUGGACGGAGAGAGACUCGGCCUCCUGUACCCAGAAGG